CCUACGGGAGGCAGCAGUAGGGAAUUUUCGGCAAUGGGGGGAACUCUGACCGAGCAACGCAGCGUGAACGAAGAAGUUAUUCGUAAUGUAAAGUUCUUUUAACAGGGAAGAAAGAGAAAUUUGACGGUACCUGAAGAAUAAGCUCCGGCUAACUACGUGCCAGCAGCCGCGGUAAUAGGUAGGGAGCGAACUUUAUCGGGAAUUAUGGGGCGUAAAGGAGGCGUAGAUGUCAUAGUAAGUCUUUGGUAAAAAUGCUGGGCUCAAACCAGUAGGGCAAAAGAUACUGCAAAGCUUGAGUAUGCAAGAGGAAAGUGGAACUCAAGGUGUAGCGGUAAAAUGCGUAAAUAUAUGUAAGAACACCAGUGGCGAAGGCGGCUUGCUGGGUCGAUACUGACAUUGAGGCACGAAAGCGUGGGGAGCAAACAGGAUUAGAUACCCGGGUAGUC
rnacentral:rRNA from 1 species